rnacentral:rRNA from 1 species
UACGUAGGGCGCAAGCGUUGUCCGGAAUUAUUGGGCGUAAAGAGCUCGUAGGCGGCUUGUCACGUCGGGUGUGAAAUCUUGGAGCUUAACUCCGAAACUGCAUUCGAUACUGCCGUGCUUGAGGACUGGAGAGGAGACUGGAAUUUACGGUGUAGCGGUGAAAUGCGUAGAUAUCGUAAGGAAGACCAGUGGCGAAGGCGGGUCUCUGGACAGUUCCUGACGCUGAGGCACGAAGGCCAGGGGAGCAAACGGG